GCGGACAUAGCUCAAUGGUAGAGUAUUUCCUUGCCAAGGAAAAUGUUGCGGGUUCGACUCCCGUUGUCCGCU
rfam:Volvox carteri f. nagariensis unplaced genomic scaffold VOLCAscaffold_877, whole genome shotgun sequence.